GACGAACGCUGGCGGCGUGCCUAAUACAUGCAAGUAGAACGCACAGUUUAUACCGUAGCUUGCUACACCAUAAACUGUGAGUUGCGAACGGGUGAGUAACGCGUAGGUAACCUGCCUGGUAGCGGGGGAUAACUAUUGGAAACGAUAGCUAAUACCGCAUAAUAUUGAUUAUUGCAUGAUAAUUGAUUGAAAGAUGCUAUUGCAUCACUACCAGAUGGACCUGCGUUGUAUUAGCUAGUAGGUGAGGUAACGGCUCACCUAGGCGACGAUACAUAGCCGACCUGAGAGGGUGAUCGGCCACACUGGGACUGAGACACGGCCCAGACUCCUACGGGAGGCAGCAGUAGGGAAUCUUCGGCAAUGGACGAAAGUCUGACCGAGCAACGCCGCGUGAGUGAAGAAGGGUUUCGGAUCGUAAAGCUCUGUUGUAAGAGAAGAACGGGUGUGAGAGUGGAAAGUUCACACUGUGACGGUAUCUUACCAGAAGGGGACGGCUAACUACGUG
rnacentral:rRNA from 1 species